GAUAACAGAGUCGUCACAGGCAAGAGCACAUAUCGACCCUGUGGCUUGCUACCUCGAUGUCGGUUCCCUCCAUCCUGCCCGUGCAGAAGCGGGCAAGGGUGAGGUUGUUCGCCUAUUAAAGGAGGUCGUGAGCUGGGUUUAGACCGUCGUAAGACAGGUC
rnacentral:ncRNA from 1 species